AGUGAACGCUGGCGGUAGGCCUAACACAUGCAAGUCGAACGGCAGCACAGUAAGAGCUUGCUCUUACGGGUGGCGAGUGGCGGACUGGUGAGGAAUACAUCGGAAUCUACUUUUUCGUGGGGGAUAACGUAGGGAAACUUACGCUAAUACCGCAUACGACCUACGGGUGAAAGCAGGGGAUCUUCGGACCUUGCGCGAUUGAAUGAGCCGAUGUCGGAUUAGCUAGUUGGCGGGGUAAAGGCCCACCAAGGCGACGAUCCGUAGCUGGUCUGAGAGGAUGAGCAGCCACACUGGAACUGAGACACGGUCCAGACUCCUACGGGAGGCAGCAGUGGGAAUAUUGGACAAUGGGCGCAAGCCUGAUCCAGCCAUACCGCGUGGGUGAAGAAGGCCUUCGGGUUGUAAAGCCCUUUUGUUGGGAAAGAAAAGCAGCAGGUUAAUACCCCGCUGUUCUGACGGUACCCAAAGAAUAAGCACCGGCUAACUUCGUG
rnacentral:rRNA from 1 species